GCACAACCCAAAUUCAUAUUAUACUUAAAAGUCUACAUCAAAGUAAAAACAUAUUACUUAUGUUUUUAUAUUCCUCAGAAGAACCAUAACCAACUGCUAAAAUGAAAAGCAUUACCACAAUACCACCAUGCAUACACAUACACCCCCUAUACUAAGUCUUUGUCAAACUUCUAAUUAUUGUUGAACUUGGAAGACAAAAUUAUGGAUUCUGGUGAUGAGCAAAUAACUAAAGAGAAGGCUCCAGCAUAUCCUGAGGAGAUCAGAAAGGCAAAAGAGAGUGAAAAACAGAGCUUCAAGAAGAAGGUGGUGGUAAAAUGCCAAGGGACAUUAGAAAGAAUUUCCUGCCCUUGGAAUUCUGGUAGCAGAGAGGCAGAAAAGGAAGCCACUGAAAACCUUGAAAAGUUCAUUCAUGAGAUCAGAGGGGGACAGAAGCUGGACUACAAAAGCAAAAAGAAUAAAUGCAGUUUUGAAGUUCUCAGUCAUCCCUAUUAG
rnacentral:lncRNA from 12 species